UACGUAGGUGGCAAGCGUUGUCCGGAUUUACUGGGCGUAAAGAGCGCGCAGGCGGUCAGAUAAGUCGAAUGUGAAAGCCCCCGGCUCAACUGGGGAGGGUCAUUCGAUACUGUUCGACUCGAAGGCAGGAGAGGGAAGCGGAAUUCCCGGUGUAGUGGUGAAAUGCGUAGAUAUCGGGAGGAACACCAGUGGCGAAGGCGGUUACCUGGACAGUUACUGACGCUCAGGCACGAAAGCAUGGGGAGCAAAAGGG
rnacentral:rRNA from 1 species